ACUCCCGCCGGUAAUGCAUCACCCCCCACAACAAUGGCACGCUGCAGACAUUAAUUAACAAUAUUAAUCUCCCGUGUCCUUUGAGCAGGCGUGUGCACGUGCGCUGCACGGUGGUGAUGCAAUCCUAAUCUAUAUAAAGGCUUUGCUUUUAUCCGGGCAAUAGCCACACUAAACAAGUAUCAACGGGACGCUCAAACCUCCAUUUUUAUGGAGGGAGAAAGGAUGUUGCGGGAGGGUUAAUUGAAUAGCCAACUAAUUAAUUCCCGGCCUUUAUUAAUUGCUUGAAAUGGAGAGCAGAGCAUGGAAGGAGUCCAGAGAAUCCACGGAGCAGCCCAAUGCGACGGCUACACAAACAAGAGGUAGGAAUCAUCGGCUAAUGGAAGCCCUAAUUGAGAAGCCACCGCUUGUCAUGAGGGAACAACAAAUGGGAGCUCAGUGAGGAUGGCCAGAUGUCUCUCCUCCGACACAGACAGCUGAGGAGGCUCCGAGCCCACUGCAGAGGGAUACAAAAAUCAAAACUUGCAUCAUCAUCAUCAUUAGCAUCCACUUCCAACCGGCUUGUUUAAUUGGCUCAUUUUCAGGCUUUCCAUCCAUUAAGCUGAUGUUUGUUUUCUGUUCAAUUCCAGAUUUAGACGGUAACAAAAAAAAAUGCCACAAUAGCAAAACUCCUCUACAUCCUCCUCACUUAGCGUCCACUCCAGCUCAAUUAUUCUGCUCAAUUAGUCAGUCUGAUCUGCAUUUUGCCAUCAGCUUUCCAUCUUUGAGGAGAAAUAUGGCCUCCGGGUGGUCAAUACGGCGCUCGUUCAUCAGCCGGGGGAGGUCUGUCCAUUUAAGGAAAUGAGAAAAGGGCGAGCAAACAGCAGGAGCAGAUGUGGCUGAGUUCAUCAGAUCAAACAGGACGAAAGCUCAACAUCCAAACUGGGUUGGGUGGAUAUGUUUGAGGUGGGCCGUUUGUUCUGUUCCCUUUUAUGUUGUUACCACUUUCAAAUAAACUCAGCGUACUGGCUCGUUUGUGUUGAUGGGCUCACCUUGGUUGGGAAUAUUGUGUCAUUUGGCUAUGCAAGCAUCGUUUUCCCUCCUAAUUUCUACUGUUACCUUGCAUUGCUUCUUAUGAAGCUCCGCUCUUUUGCUUUGUGUGUAUGCUAGCAGCCCCGCCUCCCCCACAAACACAAAGCGAUUGCAUGAUUGAAAAGGUGUCCCUCUGUUCAAAGGUGUUCGAUAAAGUAUCUAGGUGUUGAACCAACAUACAUGCACAUGGCAAUACAUUGCGAGAUACCCCUAAUUAUUACAGAUGAUACUUUUUAAUAAUCAAGCAAACAAUGAAGACGUGGUGGUACCAUCCAGUGUUGACUGAAGUGGUCCAAUCCUGCCCAUCCUUCUCGUUCGCCACACGUGUCUGGCUGAUGGCACGUAGAGUUGGGUGACCUGAACAUGGAGGGCAAAUACACAAGCAUUACUACUACUACUACUACUACUGCAUUGUUUUGCGGUGGAAUUUUGACAGCACCUUAUCUGCCCGGAUGUUGACUUCUUCGGACAGCCAGUGCCCUGCUGGACAGAAGGGUCGUCUGAUGUCACGAGCUUUCAGCAUUUUCACCAAGUUAGUGAUGACCUGGCCAAAACAUCAACAUAGAAAUCAGCUUCCCGCCAUUUGGACAAGAGUGGUCAGAAAAGGGAAAGGGAGGGCAAUUAAGGGAAGCAAAGCAAUUUAAGAGUUAGGACAUUAGCACAGCGUUUAUGAGGAGUAUAAAAGAAGAAUAGUCCAGCCCUGCCCUUGUUAAUUAAGCCUUUUUAAUUACUAACCAAGGCUGCUGACAUCAGCCAUGGUAUGAGAACACAAAGACACAGCAUCACUUUGAUUCCUGCAGAAGAGUCUUUCUUUUCCGUGCAUUGAUAUUAGCUUUCUUACCGAUAUCAGAGAUACCAAAGUUGUCCUGCACUUCAUUACUGAUGCUGAUAUUGGCAGCAGCUCUUUCCUCCAACAAAUGUCAGGUGAAAACAAUUUUAUAAUAAACGAUAUUUGUGCAAAGUAAGACAAAUACUACAAUAUGCAAUGUCAGUUAAAUAAUUUUAAAAAUCAUGACCAGUCGUCAGAGGUGUGGACUCAAAGCAGACUCAAAUCAGAAUUUUAAUUUGACUUUGGACUUGACUUGCCAAUAUUAUAAAAGACUUACAACUCGACUUCAAUGACUCGGGACUUGAGUCUAAUGAUUUGAAAAUACUUUUUCAGAGACGGCGUUGAGUAAAAUGUGUCCACCAUUCAUAGUAUUCAAACUACCGUAAUCUUAUUAUGUAAUUUCCAGCAAGACAACAUAUUUUCCCUUUGAAUCUGCCUCAUUGAAUGCACUGCUGGCUUAUUAUUUUGCUGCAUGUACGCUACCUGCAAGUGGCUCCCAGUGAUUCUUCCCUGAGGAAGAAUUGCUCCUGCCAUCACCCAAUGACCGAUACGGAUAUGUCAUUUUUAUGGCACUAUCAGUUGACCAAUACUAUCAACCAUCCCUAAUAAAUACGUCGUAAUUUCGGAGAAUGUAUAGCCAACUAAUUAUUGCCUGGCUCUGCUUUCAUGAGCAUGUUGCAGAAAAGCUUCUAUGUUUGUCCCUCUGCUGCCAUUUAACCUCACCUCAAGAAGACCCGUUAAAUGAGUUCCUACGUCCCCCAUAACAGUUACAGCAGGACCAUUUCCAUAUAAUGCUCGGGCCGGACCGUCCCAAUCGAAGAGUUCUCUUCUAAAGCACAUGAUUUUCAUAGGACGACAAUCAAUCCCGGCGGAAUGCUGGGAGGCAACUGGAGUCGGCAAUAAUGGCAAGUGCAAAAUGCUGUAAAAGGAGCGUGGCAAUGGGUUCGGAGCGCGCUAGCCCCUGACUCCAAGAAUGAAUAAGCAUUCCUUAAUUAGCCCAUCGGGUUAAGUGCAAGCCUUAAUGGGCCUUUCCCAAACUCCGGCGUGACAUCGUUCUCCAAACAUGGCCAAGAAGAAAGUUCCAUUAGCAAUAUUAAUACAAGCUUAGUUGAUCAUUUUCAUUCAAUUAACUUCCUUCAAUUAAAUAGAUAGCUCGACAAUGGAGGCGAUAAAAGAUGGGGAGGGACGGCUGAUGACACCAAGCAAACAUUAGCGUGUUAGGGGUCAGCGGCGUUAAACCGACUGUAAAUCCCACCGUUCAAUUUGGAAAAUGCACUUUCCCUGCUCCCCACUUCUUUAAUGGGUCGUUUUAGCUGACAGGAGGCCUUUGAGCAGGU